rnacentral:rRNA from 1 species
GACGAACGCUGGCGGCGUGCUUAACACAUGCAAGUCGAACGGUGAUGCGCGAGCUUGCUGGAGUGGACGUGUGGCGCACGGGUGUGUAACACGUGAGCAACCUGCCCCUGACUGUGGGAUAAGAGCUGGAAACGGCGGCUAAUACUGGAUACGAUAUUGGCAAGCAUGGGCAUGGUUUGGAAAGUUCCUCGGUUUGGUAUGGUCUCGCGGCCUAUCAGCUUGUUUGUGUGGUAAUGGCUCACCAAGGCGACGACGGGUAGCCGGCCUGAGAGGGCGACCGGCCACAAUGGGACUGAGACACGGACCAGACUCCUACGGGAGGCAGCAGUGGGGAAUAUUGCACAAUGGGCGAAAGCCUGAUGCAGCGACGCCGCGUGAGGGAUGACGGCCUUCGGGUUAUAAACCUAUUUCAGCAGAGAAGAAGCGAAAGUGACGGUACCUGCUGAAGAAGCACCGGCUAACUACGUG